CCUCCCUUGGUGACUACAUAACACAGUGUUCUUUCUCUUUCCCAGCACUUAGAGAUGUGUAAUUGCCUGCUUAGUGAUCUGUAUUCCCAAAUAGACCUUAAGUUCCCAAAAGCAGGGCCACAUCCAUCUCAUUCAUUAUAUCUCCCUUAGCAGCUGGUGCAUAUUAAACCAGGAAGUACAUGACUGAAUGAAUCCUACUCUGGGCCAAUACUGAAGGAGGAUGAAAGCUUGGUAAACAACAGUGACUGAAUCAAAUGAGGUUCAGUUACCAACUCUGUGACCAAACCACGCAAUUCAGGUUUAAUCAGCAUUGACUAAGCAGGUUCCAAGCAAAAUGAGACCAAAUUGUUUUGCCGACCUGGAUCUGACUGUGCAGUUUAGUGAAAGCCAAAAAACUGAGUGUCUAUUCAGGGCUGAAGAUGGUUCUCUUCCCACCUUGGGUCCAGAAGGUGCUAUAAUAGAAGAAACUCAACCACAGACAUAAUAUUUGAGCCAUGUCUUGAAAAGGGUUGGUUUUCAAAGGAAGAAAGAACAAGGAAGGAAAACAUUCCAGAUACUGAGUGUAUCCAGUCUGUACAUGAAAGAGCAUAUUACAUGCUGUUUUAAAGAAGUAGAAAGCUGCCCCAUAAAGCUAGGAAGAACAAGCAGGACAUGAAACUGGAAAGCUGAGCUGGUUUAAUGAAUUUAAUCCUGCAGAAAACAAAGAACCACAAGGGACUUUGAUGAAAAGAAAAUAACAUGAUUCCAGUUGUGUAACGGAAAGAUCACUAUGGAGAAUGGGUUUGUAGGGCAACAGCCCAAAGGGAGUGAAAUCAAGUAAGAGAUUCCCAAGAUCAGAUUAGAGAAGAUGAUGUCUGAACUAAGACAAUGACAGUUACUGAAUAAUAGAGAUUGAGUUGAGAAAU
rnacentral:lncRNA from 1 species